GAAACCAACAGGGAUUGCCUUAGUAACGGCGAGUGAAGCGGCAAAAGCUCAAAUUUGAAAUCUGGCACCUUCGGUGUCCGAGUUGUAAUUUGAAGAAGGUAACUUUGGAGUUGGCUCUUGUCUAUGUUCCUUGGAACAGGACGUCACAGAGGGUGAGAAUCCCGUGCGAUGAGAUGCCCAAUUCUAUGUAAAGUGCUUUCGAAGAGUCGAGUUGUUUGGGAAUGCAGCUCUAAGUGGGUGGUAAAUUCCAUCUAAAGCUAAAUAUUGGCGAGAGACCGAUAGCGAACAAGUACAGUGAUGGAAAGAUGAAAAGAACUUUGAAAAGAGAGUGAAAAAGUACGUGAAAUUGUUGAAAGGGAAGGGCUUGAGAUCAGACUUGGUAUUUUGCGAUCCUUUCCUUUUUGGUUGGGUUCUCCGCAGCUUACUGGGCCAGCAUCGGUUUGGACGGUAGGAUAAUGAUUAAGGAAUGUGGCUCUGCUUCGGUGGAGUGUUAUAGCCUUGGUUGAUGCUGCCUGUCUAGACCGAGGA
rnacentral:rRNA from 1 species